GACGAACGCUGGCGGCGUGCCUAAUACAUGCAAGUCGAGCGAAUGACGAGGAGCUUGCUCCUUUGAUUUAGCGGCGGACGGGUGAGUAACACGUGGGUAACCUACCCUAUAGACUGGGAUAACUUCGGGAAACCGGAGCUAAUACCGGAUAAUACUUUUGAACACAUGUUCGAAAGUUGAAAGAUGGAUUCGGCUAUCACUAUAGGAUGGACCCGCGGCGCAUUAGCUAGUUGGUGAGGUAACGGCUCACCAAGGCAACGAUGCGUAGCCGACCUGAGAGGGUGAUCGGCCACACUGGGACUGAGACACGGCCCAGACUCCUACGGGAGGCAGCAGUAGGGAAUCUUCCACAAUGGACGAAAGUCUGAUGGAGCAACGCCGCGUGAGUGAAGAAGGAUUUCGGUUCGUAAAACUCUGUUGCAAGGGAAGAACAAGUAGCGUAGUAACUGGCGCUACCUUGACGGUACCUUGUUAGAAAGCCACGGCUAACUACGUGCCAGCAGCCGCAGUAAAAC
rnacentral:rRNA from 1 species